GUCCUGUAAGCAGUAGAGUAGCCUUGUUGUUACGAUCUGCUGGGGGUAAGCCGUCCUUCGCCUCGAUUUCCCCAAUGGGU
rnacentral:rRNA from 1 species